GAUGAAGAACGUAGCGAAAUGCGAUACUUGGUGUGAAUUGCAGAAUCCCGUGAACCAUCGAGUCUUUGAACGCAAGUUGCGCCCGAAGCCAUUAGGCCGAGGGCACGCCUGCCUGGGCGUCACACGUCGUUGCCCCCCCAUCUACUCCUUCGGGAUUGCGGGGGGCGGAUGAUGGCCUCCCGUGCGCCUCGCCGCGCGGUUGGCAUAAAUGCCAAGUCCUCGGCGACGCACGCCACGACAAUCGGUGGUUGCGAAACCUCGGUUGCCCGUCGUGUGCGGUCGUCGCGCAUCGAGGGCUCGAAAAAAUUGCCGGGUUCCGGCUCGGCUUUCAACGCGACCCCAGGUCAGGCGGGGUUACCCGCUGAAUUUAAGCAUAUCAAAGCGGAGGA
rnacentral:misc_RNA from 1 species